rnacentral:lncRNA from 1 species
ACCUGUUUGUUGCAGGAUUCAGUCGGCUGAGACAUCACUUUUGGGGAACAUUGAAGAAGAGAUCCAGUGUUGAAUUAGUCAUGUCUAAUGAAAUGCACUGAUAUAUGAUAAAUACCUAGCAUAUGGGCACACAACAAAUGCACCAUUCAUGCCCACUCUUUCCAGAAGGCACAUUGACAGUUCUCGUCUUUACUCACUGCCUGAACCUUUCCUUACCCUUUGACCAAACCUAACCACUUCUUACCUUUUUCUUUUGUUUUGCUUUGUUUUUCUGCAUCUCUAGGUAUUUGCCUCUGUUGCUCCCUUUGCCUGGAAGCUUACCUAGUCCCAUCCAUGCCUUUGGAAAUCACGCGAAAAUGCUUCGAGCUGGAUCCCACGUGUCAUCACCUCAACAAAAGCCUUUCCCUGAGCUGUUUAACCGACCGUGCUUCCUCAAAACAGUGUUCUGCUUGGAAGACACUGAGCAUCUUCAAAAUCUUCUGAUUUUAUAACCAUUCUUGCCUCCCUGACAAGAUGACUCACCAGGACCAUGAUUUAAAUGCAUUCUGCCUUGGAUUCCAAAGAAGUCUUUAACUGAAGCAGGAUCGAGUGCAUUCUCUAGUACACAUUCAGAAAGAAACACUCCAAAUUCCUGUCAGCAGAGAAUCUCUGGGAAUGAAACAAACAAACAAACAAACACCAAAACAAACAAAAAUAAAAACCAAAAAAAAAAAGAAAAAAAAACACUGCUAUAUUGUACAUUGCUGAAAUAAAUAAAGUGCUUAACCAUCAACUGAUUAAUGACAUCAUCCUCUUUAGUUCAAGGCUAUGGAUUGGGAUCUUAGACAUAUAACAAAUUCCCACAAAUUACUAUGAGGUUUUGUAUGCCUUAUCAAAGUUCUGUGAAUAAUGAUUCAUUAUCAAGCUAUGAGCUCACAAUACAUGAAGGGCUUUGAAAGUGCACGUCUUCAAAAGCUGGAACUAAAGGGAUAAAAAAUGUUAGACGACAUAUCAUGAAAUAUGAGAGUGGGACAAGGCCAAGAUGAGUGAUUGCAUUUCAGUAUUUCAAAAUUUUUUUUUUUAACGUUUAUUUAUUUUUGAGACAGAGAGAGACAGAGCAUGAACGGGGGAGGGUCAGAGAGAGGGAGACACAGAAUCUGAAACAGGCUCCAGGCUCAGAGCGGUCAGCACAGAGCCCGACACGGGGUUUGAACUCACGAACUGUGAGAUCAUGACCUGAGCCGAAGUCGGACGCUUAACCGACUGAGCCACCCAGGCGCCCCUGCAUUUCAGUAUUUCUGUGGCCUGUGUAUUUUGAGGAGGCAGAAAAAUAUAAUACGUUUAGAGUCCCGUAAUGUAAACAAAGAUAUUAAAAGGUAACAGUAAAACAAAACAAAACAAAACAAAACCACCACCACAACUGCAUCAGAACAGCUAGAUGUCAUUACUACAGAUUUAGAAAUAGAACGGCUAACUUCAAAGGCAGUACUGAGGAAAAGGCAGAAGUAAAGAAAGUCUGAUCAAUUCAGGAGAAAUCUGUAAAGAAGGAAGGAAAAGGAAAAAGAAAACUUAAUAACUAGGUAAAUCAAAAAGGCAGAAAUUAGUUAUAUCAGUAACCACACAAAUGUAAAAGUUUUGAUCCAUCGAUUUCAUGACAGAUUUGGGGAAAAUGCAUUUAUAUUCUUCUUAAAAGAGAUACACUGAAAUCAAAAUCAUACAUGCAAAUUUUUAAAAAGAUAGAGGAAAAUAUACUCCAAGCAAUGCAUAACCAAUGAAAGGUAGUACAACAUCAUUAAUUUCAAAGAGAAUACAUUUUUACGUCCAAGACAUUAUGGAUAUCCAUGGACACUGCCAAAAAUAUGGCACCCGUAAACUAGUAUAUACGUGGUAACAGAGCCUUGGAUUAUCUGAACUCAUAUUAGGACCAUUAGGACUUCUGGUUUCAACUCUGACAUUUCUUUUUUUAAUGUUUAUUUUUGAGAGAGAGAGAGCGAGAUAGAGAAUUCGUGGGGGAGGGGCAGAGAGAGAGAGGAAGACACAGAACCCGAAGCAGGCUCCAGGCUCUGAGCUGUCAGCACAGAGCCCGAUGUGGGGCUUGAGCUCACGAACCACAAGAUCAUGAUCUGAGCCAAAGUCAGACGCCCAACCUACUGAGCCACCGAGGCACCCCUCAGCUCUGACAUUUCAAGAGCUUGGAAGUUUUCGAUCCAGUUCUUAGAACAGGAAAAAGGCUGAGCAAAAUGAAGACGAAUAACAUUGUCUGAUCCAUCAGAGAACUGAAGUCAUGGGACAAAUCACCACACUGAAAUCUAGAGAGACAGGGAAAUAUGAGGGAUUUGUAUACAAGGCUGAGAUGAGUUUAUCUGGAUCAGAAGACACUGUAAGUACAAACUGAUAGGAACAAUUACGUGGUAAUAUCGAUGAAUUGCUGGAGAAUUUGUGUGGACUAUAAUGAAAGAAAUAAACUCCUAGGGUCCAACA